rnacentral:misc_RNA from 1 species
CUACAAAUUGAUGAUUAGAUGGUGAGUCAUGGUGAACCAUUCCUUCUGGCAACAUUAAAUCUCCCUGAGAAUUCAUGUUAGGAGGAUGAGAUUCAAAUUGAUGAAACAACUUGACAUUAUUCGUUUGUGGGGGAUGAAGCUGGGAAAAGGAGGAAUGAACAGGAGCUUUUCGAUGUGGCAUUUCAUUCUCCCUCCUAUCAUAGGGGUUGG